rnacentral:misc_RNA from 1 species
GAUGAAGAACGUAGCGAAAUGCGAUAAGUAAUGUGAAUUGCAGAAUUCAGUGAAUCAUCGAAUCUUUGAACGCACAUUGUGCCCGCCAGUAUUCUGGCGGGCAUGCCUGUUCGAGCGUCAUUACAACCCUCAGGCCCCCGGGCCUGGCGUUGGGGAUCGGCGGAGCCCCCCGUGGGCACACGCCGUCCCCCAAAUACAGUGGCGGUCUCGCCGCAGCUUCCAUCGCGUAGUAGCUAACACCUCGCGACUGGAGAGCGGCGCGGCCACGCCGUAAAACACCCAACUCUUCUGAAGUUGACCUCGAAUCAGGUAGGAAUACCCGCUGAACUUAAGCAUAUCAAUAGCGGAGGA